CCCGGGGGUCCCGGCGGCUCGGGGCCGGUUUUCCCCGUUUUCCCCGUUUUCCCCAUGCCCGGGGGCAGCAGCUGGGUGCCGGGGGUGCGUUGCCCAACCGUGUUUUUCGGGGAAACCUGGGCGAGCAGGGGGGCACGACAGAGGCUGGAGAGGUGGUGUGCGGCUCUGAAGUGAGCGCCCUUGCCUUUAAUCUUUAAUCUUUAGGGCUUUUGUCAAGCGCCAAAAUGUAGCUCACGGUAAAAUUCAGUCCAGAAUCAGAAGGUCUACGACUGACGUGUCACUUCGGCCCCUUCUCAGCACAGCCACUGUAGUCCCCAUGUGAGGGGCAGCAAGCACACGGCCUGAUGUUCCUCCUUCGUUCCUCCUCUGCCUCCCAGGGUUUGGGGAUUUGGGCCACCAACCGAUGAUAACCCAGAAAACAUGACACAAUGCUUGAUUGAUGUGGGCUACAAGAGCUUUUGCUUGGAUAAGUGAAUCUUGGAACUCCCUGAGUCUCACGGGGAUGUCUGAAGAAUGUUCAUGUGCAAAUCAUUCACUUCAUUGCGCUGGCCUCACACAAGUGAAGAUCUCAUUAUUGAAAUGAGAGCUCUGUACAAAUAUUGGGCUAACAAAUUUAUACAGUUAUCUCACAAAGAUAAAUAGCUAAUGCAAUCUCAUGGUCUUUGGCCAAAAUGUUUCUAAUGUGGAAGGCUGAAGGUAUUACCAGGAGAAUAAUCUCACCAACACUUCAAUGUGACAAUUUAGAAUGUGGGUGCUUAUUUUCCAGUACAUGUAAUACAUUCUUCCAUUGAUACAAGCCUUCGCUCGUUAAAAAGUGAAGGGAUUAGAUUAUAUCUGUUGAGGAGAGACUAUGAGACACGUAAUUAAAGUUCAUGGGGAUUCUUUUACAAAAUACCAACAUUACAAUGUUUGUACAUAUGUGAAGAAACUUGGAAAUGUGAGGUAAAAAGCCUCAUGGUCACACUCAGCGAAGGUUGCCAAAGAUUAACGGGACCUUUGAGUAGAAGGUUUGCUAUAUGCUUUUUCCUAUUUCUUUCUUUUAAUUGUUGUUUUGGUGGGUGGGUGUGACUACUAUUGCUAAUUCUUACUGGUUUACACUAAUAAAUCAUUUUUCUAUAUAAAUGGAAUUUUAAAAUAAAAUUGCGUUUUGAGUAUCUUGCAA